rnacentral:rRNA from 1 species
CGGGACACGUGGUAUCCUGUCUGAAUAUGGGGGGACCAUCCUCCAAGGCUAAAUACUCCUGACUGACCGAUAGUGAACCAGUACCGUGAGGGAAAGGCGAAAAGAACCCCGGCGAGGGGAGUGAAAAAGAACCUGAAACCGUGUACGUACAAGCAGUGGGAGCACGCUUAGGCGUGUGACUGCGUACCUUUUGUAUAAUGGGUCAGCGACUUAUAUUCUGUAGCAAGGUUAACCGAAUAGGGGAGCCGAAGGGAAACCGAGUCUUAACUGGGCGUUAAGUUGCAGGGUAUAGACCCGAAACCCGGUGAUCUAGCCAUGGGCAGGUUGAAGGUUGGGUAACACUAACUGGAGGACCGAACCGACUAAUGUUGAAAAAUUAGCGGAUGACUUGUGGCUGGGGGUGAAAGGCCAAUCAAACCGGGAGAUAGCUGGUUCUCCCCGAAAGCUAUUUAGGUAGCGCCUCGUGAAUUCAUCUCCGGGGGUAGAGCACUGUUUCGGCAAGGGGGUCAUCCCGACUUACCAACCCGAUGCAAACUGCGAAUACCGGAGAAUGUUAUCACGGGAGACACACGGCGGGUGCUAACGUCCGUCGUGAAGAGGGAAACAACCCAGACCGCCAGCUAAGGUCCCAAAGUCAUGGUUAAGUGGGAAACGAUGUGGGAAGGCCCAGACAGCCAGGAUGUUGGCUUAGAAGCAGCCAUCAUUUAAAGAAAGCGUAAUAGCUCACUGGUCGAGUCGGCCUGCGCGGAAGAUGUAACGGGGCUAAACCAUGCACCGAAGCUGCGGCAGCGACGCUGAUGCGUUGUUGGGUAGGGGAGCGUUCUGUAAGCCUGUGAAGGUGUGCUGUGAGGCAUGCUGGAGGUAUCAGAAGUGCGAAUGCUGACAUAAGUAACGAUAAAGCGGGUGAAAAGCCCGCUCGCCGGAAGACCAAGGGUUCCUGUCCAACGUUAAUCGGGGCAGGGUGAGUCGACCCCUAAGGCGAGGCCGAAAGGCGUAGUCGAUGGGAAACAGGUUAAUAUUCCUGUACUUGGUGUUACUGCGAAGGGGGGACGGAGAAGGCUAUGUUGGCCGGGCGACGGUUGUCCCGGUUUAAGCGUGUAGGCUGGUUUUCCAGGCAAAUCCGGAAAAUCAAGGCUGAGGCGUGAUGACGAGGCACUACGGUGCUGAAGCAACAAAUGCCCUGCUUCCAGGAAAAGCCUCUAAGCAUCAGGUAACAUCAAAUCGUACCCCAAACCGACACAGGUGGUCAGGUAGAGAAUACCAAGGCGCUUGAGAGAACUCGGGUGAAGGAACUAGGCAAAAUGGUGCCGUAACUUCGGGAGAAGGCACGCUGAUAUGUAGGUGAAGCGACUUGCUCGUGGAGCUGAAAUCAGUCGAAGAUACCAGCUGGCUGCAACUGUUUAUUAAAAACACAGCACUGUGCAAACACGAAAGUGGACGUAUACGGUGUGACGCCUGCCCGGUGCCGGAAGGUUAAUUGAUGGGGUCAGCGCAAGCGAAGCUCUUGAUCGAAGCCCCGGUAAACGGCGGCCGUAACUAUAACGGUCCUAAGGUAGCGAAAUUCCUUGUCGGGUAAGUUCCGACCUGCACGAAUGGCGUAAUGAUGGCCAGGCUGUCUCCACCCGAGACUCAGUGAAAUUGAACUCGCU